rnacentral:rRNA from 1 species
CACGUAGGGGGCGAGCGUUGUCCGGAUUUAUUGGGCGUAAAGAGCUCGUAGGCGGCUCGGUAAGUCGGGUGUGAGAACUCUAGGCUCAACCUAGAGACGCCACCUGAUACUGCUGUGGCUAGAGUCCGGUAGGGGAGCAUGGAAUUCCUGGUGUAGCGGUGAAAUGCGCAGAUAUCAGGAGGAACACCAGUGGCGAAGGCGGUGCUCUGGGCCGGUACUGACGCUGAGGUGCGAAAGCGUGGGGAGCAAACAGG